rnacentral:hammerhead_ribozyme from 1 species
AUUCAGCUGACAAGUCCCAAAUAGGAUGAAACGCAUGUCGUGGAU